rnacentral:rRNA from 1 species
GAAUCACUUGUCUUUUAAAUGAAGACCUGUAUGAAUGGCACGACGAGGGCUAAACUGUCUCCUUUCUCAAGUCAAUGAAAUUGAUCUUCCCGUGCAGAAGCGGGAAUAACCCCAUAAGACGAGAAGACCCUAUGGAGCUUUAGACAUAAGACAGACCAUGUUAAGGAACCCUAAGAUAGUGGAACGAACUUAGUGGCUGCUGUUUAACUUGUCUUUGGUUGGGGCGACCACGGAGUAAAACAAAACCCCCGUGUGGUAUGAGGGCAGCCCCCUCUAAAGUAAGAGUGACAACUCUAGCUAGCAGAAAUUCUGACCAGCAAUGAUCCGCUAAAGCGAUCAACGGACCGAGUUACCCUAGGGAUAACAGCGCAAUCCCCUUCUAGAGCCCAUAUCGACAAGGGGGUUUACGACCUCGAUGUUGGAUCAGGACAUCCUAAUGGCGCAGCCGCUAUUAAGGGUUCGUUUGUUCAACGAUUAAAGUCCUACGUGAUCUGA